rnacentral:lncRNA from 1 species
GGCACACAGCCCUCCCCAGCAUGGGAUCAGCCGACUCUUGCCUCUCCCCGCCGGAAGAGGGCAGUGGGGUGUCUGUUCCCCAGCGCAGGCCAGCUGCUGGCUUUGCUUCUCACUUAGAGCCACGCUGGUCAUCUGCGACCCAGGGGCUUAGCCCACAGGCAGCUGGGGCGCGUGGGCCGGCAGCAGGCAGCAGGACACUUGAAAAUUGUCUCUGGCCAGGGCUAGCUGUCUCCCCAGAGGACACACAGAGGAUAUCUUCCCUCCUGCCUUUGGACGAUUUAGACAUGGCUGGAGAGACCAGGCCGGGCCCCACCCAGCCAGGCCAGAAGAGGCAGCCGGGCACAGCCAUUUCCUGCAGUAACUAUGACCUGGACUACAAGCUGUACAGGGAAGAUGUCCCCUACAGGGUGUAUGAAUACCAAGGAAUCCCUCCACUCCUCAACCGCAUGCCUGUCAAGAUCCGGAGGACCCACGUGGGCAUGGGGGUUAAGAGCAGCUUCAGUCCCCACAAGGGCCCCAGGAAGAGCCACCUGCCCCGAGAGCAAAUAAAGCGGUCAGACGCCAGUGAAGAAAACAGGGCCGCAGUGAGUAAGAGUUACUCAUGCAGAAUCACUGAAGCCAAGCAGGAGCCCAGGGGCCAGAGGGCCCAUCCAGAAGCAGACAGCCCAGAGGACAGCACACACCCAGAGGAGGCAGUGAAGAAUCAUGCAUCGGACCAGGAGGGCAGUCAGUAGAAGACUGGAAUUCCUCCCGGCUUCUUCCCAGACGGCUCCCUUCCUUGCCUCAUGGGGUUUUUGGAAGGCCUCCUGGUGGCACCUGUGCGACCAAAAGCACACAUUCUGGAAUGAGUACAAUGAAGCGGAGGUGUGGCUCACCACACCAGCUGGGAAGCCCCUCCGUAAUGGUUGCUUUUGCUUUUGGAGGCCAUGUUUCCAGAUAGUCCGGGGAGCUAAGAGGGAGGUCUAGCACAUGCUCACUAUCCUCAUGAGGGAGGCCGUCUGGCAAGGGGCGGAAGAACAGCGCCCCGCCCCCACCUUGGGAGCACAUCUGCCCCCUCUGACUGCAGGCAUUGCUUUGGCUGCUCUUCUCCCUGCCCCAGGCCCUGCCAGUUCUGUGUGGAGUGUCCCGCCCCCGCCGCCAGCCCAGCUUUCUCAGCUCCAGUGAUGCACAGGAAAUAAACUCAUGUUCUACGGACCCCUUCUGGUCUGAAACUGACCUUUAAGCUCCUUGGUGUGUGUCCCACAUGACCUCCUUUGGUUCCAGACUCCCCACCCAUCCACCCUCAUUCAGAAUAGAGUAUCAUUUUUAUGUCCUGUUUCUAUCUUGUCUCUCACUGGUGUGAUACUAUGUACUUCAGACCUGCUCUGGAAAUACUGUAAUGUCAAAGGAGAAAAAUAAAUUUGUAUUUCUUUUCCCUGGUC